UGGGGAAAAGACUCAACCUCUACAUGUCCA
rnacentral:piRNA from 1 species